rnacentral:rRNA from 1 species
AUUGAACGCUGGCGGCAGGCCUAACACAUGCAAGUCGAGCGGGGUUUUCGGACCUAGCGGCGGACGGGUGAGUAAUGCGUAGGAAGCUACCCGAUAGAGGGGGAUACCAGUUGGAAACGACUGUUAAUACCGCAUAAUGUCUACGGACCAAAGUGUGGGACCUUCGGGCCACAUGCUAUCGGAUGCGCCUACGUGGGAUUAGCUAGUUGGUGAGGUAAUGGCUCACCAAGGCGACGAUCCCUAGCUGGUUUGAGAGGAUGAUCAGCCACACUGGAACUGAGACACGGUCCAGACUCCUACGGGGGGCAGCAGUGGGGAAGAUUGGACAAUGGGAGCAAGCCUGAUCCAGCCAUGCCGCGUGUGUGAAGAAGGCCUUCGGGUUGUAAAGCACUUUCAGUAGGGAGGAAGCGUUGUGUGUUAAUAGUACACAGCGUUGACGUUACCUACAGAAGAAGCACCGGCUAACUCUGUGCCAGCCGCCGCAGUAACAC